AUUUCUCUGGAAAUAUUUCCUUAUCAGCUGUUGUUACUCGUGUAAUCGCUUUAAUAAAUAUUCCAUAUAAAUUGCAAUAUAACCAUGGCAAUCUAUGGUAAUGCUUUCAGUUAAAAGAAAAUCGUGAACCUGCUGCAAGCAAAACAUAAGAAAACUUAAAAAAAUAUAAAAUGUUUUCAGUGCACAAACUAAUAAUAUUUCUGUGGAUCCUCUUAAAGAUUUACCACACCAAUGCAGCUGUCUCACAUGGCGUACAUGCACCUGAACAACCACGAUAUUGGUUUGGCAAUGACUACGAAAUCCGUACUUCCAGUGGAAGGCGUAUCACAAGGGGCUUAAAAUUUAAAUUGCCUUUGGAUUCGCCUAUGGACGAACCUGAAGUACCACAAUAUAUGCUUGGAAAUAAAUGCACACUGCGUACUUACAGUGGAAGGUGUAUCAGAAGGGACUCAGAAUAAAUUGGUUUUCGAUUAACAAUUAAAUUAAAAUUCAUAAAUAUUUAAAAUAAAUAUAUUUUUG
rnacentral:lncRNA from 1 species